rnacentral:rRNA from 1 species
UAGGUGGCAAGCGUUGUCCGGAAUCAUUUGGCGUAAAGAGCGUGUAGGCGGUCCGUUAAGUCGGCUGUGAAAGUCCAAGGCUCAACCUUGGGAUGCCGGUCGAUACUGCCGGACUAGAGUUCGGAAGAGGCGAGUGGAAUUCCCGGUGUAGCGGUGAAAUGCGCAGAUAUCGGGAGGAACACCUAUGGCGAAGGCAGCUCGCUGGGACGUUACUGACGCUGAGACGCGAAAGCGUGGGGAGCAAACAGG